UGAGAGGUGGGGGAAGGAUUACCACAGUCAUUUCCCUCAGGAAACUGAGGCUCACAGAGGACGAACCACUUGCCCAAGAUCAAACAACUGACAUGGCAAGACAGAGGCCCUCAGAAGGUCUGAGCCGCACAAGCUCACUCCAUGCGGCUCCCAACCUGAGUCAGGACUGACCUCCAAAUGCAGUGGGUGGGGGAAGCUAAGCCGGGGCUGCUUCCAGUGCACUCCUGCCGGCCUUAGUCUUCUCUCUUUGAAGUCUCUGAAGAAGCAAUGUGAGGACUUGUCCAAAAGCACCUUCGGGGCACCUGAACUGGUUCUCCAGGAUGCUGUGGGAGCCUUUUCCACAGGGCUUUCUGGAGGCUUAGGUGACUCCUUCAGACGGAGACAGCCGUCCUAAAAAUUGGUCACAGACUCUUGGUCUUCUGCCUAGAAGGAUUCAGAGGGAACUAAGAACCACCUCCUACAGGCUGCCAGAGGGGCACCUAAAUGACUACACUAGGUGACAGAGGAUCUAAACUGGUUCCCAGAUCUGCCUACCAUUUGCAUCCCAACAUGUCUAUGCUGAAGUGCUUCCAUCCUUUCCCAAGUCAUAAAAGCAGCCUCCACUCCCAUGCCACUCCUUCGGGACCACGGGAGGAACCCACCUAGCCCCCAAGACCCCAGAAAGAUUCCUUUAUCUCCUCAGGCCCAUCGGCCCACAGGGCAGCAGCCCUUCCCAAGGUCCCAAGGGCCACAGAAGGUGCGCUCUGGUCCUGCUUCCUAAAGCUGUCUGCCUGCUCCUGGCUCCCCGGGAGAUCUUUGAGGAACAGGAAUUGCUGCUCCAGUGCUCGAAUGUGGCUCUACAGCUUACUUCUGACUUUUCUUUGGGAUCCUAGAUGAGGGGAAAACCUUGAGCCAUAGUUUCUGCCCUACUAGGAGUGCGGAUUUGUCCCUGCCUCUAUCAAUCCCCUUGCUCCCAUAUCUUCUCAAGAUUGGUCAGAAGGGACUGGGAAUAUUUUACAACUCCAAAAGCUACAGUGAGCUUUUCUCCUCUGACACAAUCUCCAGUUCUGUCCGUCUAAAUGACCAUCUUCAUGUGGUUAAAAAGGAAAAAAAUACUCAUCUCAUGCUCAACUUUGGUUAUGGGACUUUCUACAUGUACCUAGAAUGAGCCUCAAAACCAGACAUCUUAUUGAUGGACCUGAUUAGAAUUCUUUCCAUGUUGGUAAGAGGGUCCAGAGCUGUUCUGGCUGAGGACCCUCUCCAUGCCAUGAUAAGGCAUCAGGAAGGGCAACAGACACGGGAAAAACCCAACCUCAAUUCCUCUGGAGCUGGGAUGCAUAGAAUGAAAUAGCAGUUAAGUACCUAAGAAAUUCUAAGAGUUCAAAGGCAGGCUUGGACUUACACAUCUGGAGCUAGAAGAGAACAAGUGGUUUGUUGGACUUUGGCAAACCUAAGGUUUCCUAAAAGCCUUUUGCACCAUUUCUUUCCUUUGCCUAAAGGAGGCCAGGAGAUAGUGAGUGGAGGAAGGUAUAUUCAGUUGGAGUUAGCACUAGUUUAUACAAUGAACCAAUGGCCCUCAGAUCCAGUUUGCUGUGCUCCAGAAACUAGAAAUAAUGUUCUAGGAAACAGGAGUUUUUAACAUAGGACACAUGAGAAGAUGGCAUAUUAAAAUGAUUGAAUAUUAUUGUAAUGUAAGAACGAAUAAAAAUGACAUUCAAAGAAA